rnacentral:lncRNA from 1 species
CACCGAUAGAUGGCUCUUCCUAUGGUGGAUGUUAUGGAUUCUCUAAUUCUAUCCUUUAUCUUGACUCCUAAUCAAAAUGAGAAGUUAGUUAGAGAAGUCACUAGUGAGGAGAAAGAGGAAGCUAUUUCAAAUAUGCAAAGGGAUAAGGCUUCCGACCUUGAUAGAUAUCCCAUAUUCUCUUUUUCAAAUUUUUGAUAUUCAUAAAUAAUGAUGUGAUAUACAUAAUCAAAUAUUUCUUCAAUCACUCUAUGAUGCCUCAUUUGUGGAAAAGAACUUUCAUAAUUUUGAUUCUUAAAGUUAGUAGUCCUAUUAAAGUUAGCGACUACCGCCCAAUCAACCUUUAUAAUAAUGUUUAUAAAUUAUGGCUAAAGUCUUGGUUAACCGACUGAAGCCUCUUUUAAGUUUCUUAAUCUUGGCAAAA